UAGGGAAUAUUGGACAAUGGGGGCAACCCUGAUCCAGCCAUGCCGCGUGAGUGAAGAAGGCCCUCGGGUUGUAAGCUCUUUUGUCCGGAAAGAAAAGCUUCGGGUUAAUACCCCGGGGUUCUGACGGUACCGGAAGAAUAAGCACCGGCUAACUUCGUGCCAGCAGCCGCGGUAAUACGAAGGGUGCAAGCGUUACUCGGAAUUACUGGGCGUAAAGCGUGCGUAGGUGGUUGUUUAAGUCUGAUGUGAAAGCCCUGGGCUCAACCUGGGAAUGGCAUUGGAAACUGGGCAGCUAGAGUGCGGUAGAGGGUAGUGGAAUUCCCGGUGUAGCAGUGAAAUGCGUAGAGAUCGGGAGGAACAUCUGUGGCGAAGGCGACUGCCUGGACCAGCACUGACACUGAGGCACGAAAGCGUGGGGAGCAAACA
rnacentral:rRNA from 1 species